rnacentral:lncRNA from 1 species
UUUUUUAUUCUAACAUCAUUAUUAUAUAUAUUUUUAUUAUUUUCUUACCUUUAUUUCCCGUUUCUUCCUCUCUCUUCUACUCGUUUUUCUCUUCCUUUCUUCUCCCUCCUUUCAUGCACCAAUCGACUGCACUUUCUUCCUCUCUUUCUCUCACCGUCAGUAGCACCCCAAUACUCAGCUUUCUCUCUUUUCUUUCCUCAAAAUCCAGCAGCAACUUAGCUUUCUUUUCCCUUAAAAUUUGCAGCAAAAAUCUCCUCUUUUGACUCCUCUAAGUGG